rnacentral:misc_RNA from 1 species
GAAAUGCGAUACUUGGUGUGAAUUGCAGAAUUCCGCGAGUCAUCAGAUCUUUGAACGCAAAUGGCGCUCGGUUAAAAAAUACCCGAGCAUGUUUGUUUCAGUGUGUUCGGAAUCAUAUAUCUAAAUGCGAUUGAAUUUCAUUAUUCUCUCGUUAAACAUGAAAGCGCUGAAUUGUUCAGUGCCGACCGAAGUAGUCACUUCUUGCAAGUGAUCUCGGUUGCGCAUAACUGAAGAUUCACUUAAAGCGUCUUUUUAAUAUAUUUAUUAUUCUCCACUCCACACCUGAAAUCAAGCAAGAUCACCCGCUGAACUUAA